AAUUAGAAGAAAUAAAAAAAUAUAAACUUUGGUGACUAAUUUAAAGAUCAGCUAUAAUGGAAGAUAUAUACAUACGCACUACCAGAACUAAGAUGAUAUAAAUAGUUUAAAAAAAUAUAAGAAAAACAAUAUAAACGAUAUAAAUAGUAAAAAAAAGAUAUAAAAAGAAAAAAAUAGAAGUAUGUUUUGGACUUUUUUGAUAUUAAAUCUCUUAGUGAAUUUCUCCUCACCUGUUGAUUCUAGAAGGCACAGUAGAAAAAAUGAUACCAAAAGAAAAAAAUAGAAGUAUGUUUGAGACUUUUUUGAGAUUAAAUCUCUUAGUGAAAUUCUUCUCAUCUGCUUAUUUUGGAAGGCACAUUCUUAGAAGACAUGAUCAUAAUUAGAGUAUCUUUUUCAAAGAAGAAGAUUUCUGAAUCAGCAACAACAAUUUUCCAUCAAUUAUUUGAGGGGAAAAAAAGAUACUUGGAAACGAAAAAAAUUUAAAGUUCUUGUAAGUUUUGUUACGAAUUAAGAAAAAAAAGGAUACCUUAAUUCUCUUUAUAAUCACGGUAAAUAGAGAAUCAAAAA
rnacentral:lncRNA from 1 species